UGGGGAAUAUUGGACAAUGGGCGGAAGCCUGAUCCAGCCAUGCCGCGUGAGUGAUGAAGGCCUUAGGGUUGUAAAGCUCUUUCACCCGUGAAGAUAAUGACGGUAACGGGAGAAGAAGCCCCGGCUAACUUCGUGCCAGCAGCCGCGGUAAUACGAAGGGGGCUAGCGUUGUUCGGAAUCACUGGGCGUAAAGCGCACGUAGGCGGAUUGAUAAGUCAGGGGUGAAAUUCCAGGGCUCAACCUUGGGACUGCCUUUGAUACUGUUAGUCUUGAGUUCGGGAGAGGUGAGUGGAACUCCGAGUGUAGAGGUGAAAUUCGUAGAUAUUCGGAAGAACACCAGUGGCGAAGGCGGCUCACUGGCCCGAUACUGACGCUGAGGUGCGAAAGCGUGGGGAGCAAACA
rnacentral:rRNA from 1 species